GAUGAACGCUGGCGGCGUGCCUAAUACAUGCGAGUCGAGCGAACAGACGAGGAGCUUGCUCCUCUGACGUUAGCGGCGGACGGGUGAGUAACACGUGGAUAACCUACCUAUAAGACUGGGAUAACUUCGGGAAACCGGAGCUAAUACCGGAUAAUAUAUUGAACCGCAUGGUUCAAUAGUGAAAGACGGUUUUGCUGUCACUUAUAGAUGGAUCCGCGCCGCAUUAGCUAGUUGGUAAGGUAACGGCUUACCAAGGCAACGAUGCGUAGCCGACCUGAGAGGGUGAUCGGCCACACUGGAACUGAGACACGGUCCAGACUCCUACGAGAGGCAGCAGUAGGGAAUCUUCCGCAAUGGGCGAAAGCUUGACGGAGCAACGCCGCGUGAGUGAUGAAGGUCUUCGGAUCGUAAAACUCUGUUAUUAGGGAAGAACAAAUGUGUAAGUAACUAUGCACGUCUUGACGGUACCUAAUCAGAAAGCCACGGCUAACUACGUG
rnacentral:rRNA from 1 species